CCUGAUGCAGUGAACGCAGGCGCAGGCUCUGGAGUGAGAAAUUUCUCACUCUGUCGCCCAGUCUGGAGUGCAAUGGUGUGAUCACGGUCACUGCAACCUCUGCCUCCCGGGUUCAAGCGAUUCUCCUGCCUCAGCCUCCCAAGUAGCUGGGAUUACAGUGGGCAGGAAAGCAAGAUGAGCAGUUCAUUGGUUUUGAUGCCGGAAAUUCUUUGGACAUACAAAGAUCUCACGAUGGAAAAUACUCUCUUCAGCAAUUGCAGUGCUCCUAAUCCCCAGCAUGGCAUCUUCCUUGCUAUUUAUCUAGGGGCCAGCGAAAGACACGCGCUCGACUUAGCAAGAUAGGGGCUAGACAAACCACGGUGAGGAAAACGGCACCUACAAGUCUUCCCAGACAGCUGUCUGCAGUUGAAAUUGAAGUGAGUUCGAACCGAUACUGUUUAUCUUAAUGAUUCCACGGCUAUGUUCGUUUUAAGUAAUAUUAUCUUUCUUUAAAAGGUCACUGG
rnacentral:lncRNA from 1 species